CCUACGGGUGGCAGCAGUGAGGAAUAUUGGUCAAUGGACGAGAGUCUGAACCAGCCAAGUAGCGUGAAGGAUGACUGCCCUAUGGGUUGUAAACUUCUUUUAUAUGGGAAUAAGAUUUUCCACGUGUGGGAUUUUGUAUGUACCAUAUGAAUAAGGGUCGGCCAACUUCGUGCCAGCAGCCGCGGUAAUACGGAGGAUCCGAGCGUUAUCCGGAUUUGUUGGGUUUAAAGUGAGCGUAGGUGGAUUGUUAAGUCAGUUGUGAAAGCUUGCGGCUCAACCGUAAAAUUGCAGUUGAAACUGGCAGUCUUGAGUACUGUAGAGGUGGGCAGAAUUCGUGGUGUAGCGGUGAAAUGCUUAGAUAUCACGAAGAACUCCGAUUGCGAAGGCAGCCCCCUGGAC
rnacentral:rRNA from 1 species